UGGACAGAUUAUUAUAUUCGACUGUAUUCACGGCGUAAAACAGGGGAUUACACUGUUUUUAAAUAGAAAGUGAAUCAAUUAACAUAAUAGACUCCU
rnacentral:pre_miRNA from 1 species